rnacentral:rRNA from 1 species
UACGAAGGUCCCAAGCGUUAUCCGGAUUUAUUGGGCGUAAAGGGCGCGUAGGCGGUCACGCACGUCCGUUGUGAAAUCGCUCGGCUCAACUGGGCGGGGGUCGGGCGGAUACGGCGUGACUGGAGCAAGCUAGGGGGCAAUGGAAUUCCCGGUGUAGUGGUGGGAAUGCGUAGAUAUCGGGAGGAACACCAGUGGCGAAGGCGGUGCCUG